rnacentral:rRNA from 1 species
UACGUAGGGGGGCUAGCGUUGUCCGGAAUCAUUGGGCGUAAAGAGCGUGUAGGCGGCCCGGUAAGUCCGCUGUAAAAGUCAAAGGCUCAACCUUUGAAUGUCAGUGGAUACUGCCGGGCUAGAGUCCGGAAGAGGCGAGUGGAACUCCUGGUGUAGCGGUGGAAUGCGCAGAUAUCAGGAAGAACACCGACGGCGAAGGCAGCUCGCUGGGACGGUACUGACGCUGAGACGCGAAAGCGUGGGGAGCGAACAGG